GCAAAGGUAGCAUAAUCAUUAGUUCUUUAAUUGUGAUCUGGUAUGAAUGGCUUGACGAGACAUAAGCUGUCUUAGGGGUGUUGUAAAUUAAUUGAAUUUGGUUUUUGAGUUAAAAUUCUUAAAUGUUUUUAUGGGACGAGAAGACCCUAUAGAGUUUAACAAUUAUUCUUGUAUUGUAUAUUGUUUGUUUAUUUUAAUUGAUUAAGGUAAAUUGUUUUGUUGGGGUGAUGGGAGGAAAUAUAUUUAACUCCUCUUUGUUUUUGUAUAUUUAUUUAUAUCUCUUUUGAUCCAUUUAUUUUGAUUAUAAGAUUAAAUUACCUUAGGGAUAACAGCGUUAUCUUCCUUGAGAGUUCUUAUUGGCGGGGAGGUUUGCG
rnacentral:rRNA from 1 species